AGACAGAGGUAAAGCCAAGCGCUGCCGCAAGCCGCCGCCGCCGCCAGCAGCCAGCCAGCCUCACUGGGAAGAUGAGCGCGCCUCGCCGUACGCAUCGCUAACUGCGAGGGCUGCCGUGGCACCCGCUCCCUCGCCAGCCACGUCCCUCGACCGCUUCUGAGUGACGCUUCUGUGGCGGAGCCCCGCAGCACGACCGCUGCUUCUCUCACUUCAAUGCGGCUGGGCGCACACGGCAGCAUCCCCGCGGCAGGAGAUCGCGGCCGCGGCGCUGGGUGACCGCAGGCGCUGCCUUGCGGCAUCACGGCCGGCCCCGAGCUGCCCCCCUUCGGGGUGCUGCGGCUUUCCCCCCACGGUCUGCGACACCCGCUGCAGAAGCUGCCCGAGACUUCAAGUCUGCGCGUCCCGUGUGACAGCCGUGCCGUGCCGCUGCCCCACCAGGCCGGCUCUAGCGCACCCGCAUCAGCUGCAGCUGGGAAUACAAAUAUUCCCACGGACGAGUGGCUGCUGACAUUCUGAAGCAAUUUAAAACGUUCACAGCCCCUGUAGCAGUGACAGGCAUGGCAGAACUCCUCUUUGGUGUCUGCAGUCCAGACGGAUUCCUCCAUGCACUAUUUGUAAAGGUCCAUGAACUUCAGCAGCCUUUUAAGGUGCCUAAAUCUACCUCAGAGUGUUCAAGAAAAUUCAGAGUGUUCAAGGUCAGUGGGCCUUGGCUCCAUCAGAGGAUUUUGCUAGGAAAAGUAAGGCUAGUAUGCUACUGGCAGAGAUUUCCCUGGGAGAUCGUGGCAUUUCACAAACACACGCACUGGGUUCCCUAAGCGAGAAGUGACUGAAGACAGCUGCCCAGCCAGCACAGUCUCCAUUUACUUCAGUCAUUCCUUGGGCUCCAUGACUGCUGCAGAUUCCCAAGGGUUCAGAACCGGAAUCUAGUCUGUUCACUGGCUCAGCCACGUGGGGAGUGAUGACAUGACCCAGUAUGAGUGCAUCAGAAUCUCUGUUUAUUAUCCGUUGCUUACACACAUAUAUAGGUCGUGGCGAACGUGUGUCAGCUUGUAAUUGGUUGAAGCAUUGUGAAAGCCCCCUGCCUAACAAUACUAUUGGUCGUGCAUGUUUUCAUGCCAUAGUAACAAUCCUUAUGCCGCACCCGGUCCCUCGGCUCAACUUCUCAUUUCAUCUUAGUUGUUUACUAAGAUACUUCGGUUGUUUACUUCUUGCCUCAAGGACACAGUGUCCUGGGACAAUAGCAAGCUAGUACUCUCCCAUUUGUAUCUCCUGUCCAUUGUUAGGCCUGUUCUGCUCGUACAACUGUUCAAGGGACCCAUGGCCCCCUUGGCUGUCGAGCCAUUCCUCAACACAUGACAGCUGAUGUGGAAAGGCCACUUGAAAUCCUACUGGCAUUUUCCAGCUGUUCCUAUAUGAGGAACAGCUGGAAAAUAACAAUUCUGAAAUGACCAUUCAAGUCAUGCUGACUCCUAUACAUAAUAAAAA
ensembl:lncRNA